rnacentral:rRNA from 1 species
UACGUAGGGGGCAAGCGUUGUCCGGAAUCAUUGGGCGUAAAGAGCGUGUAGGCGGCCAGGUAGGUCCGUUGUGAAAACUCGAGGCUCAACCUCGAGACGCCGAUGGAAACCCCCUGGCUAGAGUCCGGAAGAGGAGAGUGGAAUUCCUGGUGUAGCGGUGAAAUGCGCAGAUAUCAGGAAGAACACCCGUGGCUAAGGCGACUCUUUGGCCUGUAACUGACACUGAGGCGCGAAAGCGUGGGGAGCAAACAGG